AAGUUGGUUUCAAAGCAUUGGGGAGCUAUCAUGGCACUGAAGAUUUGAGGCACAUGAAGGUAACAACAUAACCAUGAACAGUGAUCAGCCAUUCUUCCUCUAAUUUCUUGGAAUUAGGUAAUCCCUAGAAUCUUGAUGUAAUCCCAAAGGAUCAUCUGAAGAAUGACUUAUAUGAAAUUUCUUAUCAUCCAGUGUUAUUAUAAGAAACAACAAUAAUAAUCUCUUGAGUUGAAAAUAAUGAGAUGCUCUAUAUUCUGUAUUGUGAGUCUGUAGACCAAAAAUAUCUUAAACACAUUUGUGUGGGAAAAUAUCGGAGUCUAAAUAUCUCUUAGAAGGUAGUGCUUGCCUCCACCUAUUGAUUAAGUUGUCUUUAAAUUCUUAAACAGGAGAAUCAAACUGGGUCUGCUUAGUUCAAUCAUGGACAGUAAUUUUCAAAAGGGCAACACAGUGCUGCUUUCUUAAAAGCAUUUGUUUCAAAUUGCCGAUUCACUCCUGAUGUUCCCUUCCAAAGAGUUCAAGUCAAAAGGACAAUAUGCAUUUUGACUCUAAUAGUAUGUGAUUUUAUUUUCAAUCCGUACAAGUUAUUAUCUUUUCCAUUGCUAGUUUUUGCAUGGCUCCCUUAUUAGACUCAAAUAUCCCAUAUUUGUCUGUACAUCUGACCUGAACCUACCACAAGUCUCCUUUUGAUCUAAUCUCCCAUUCUCCCUAUUAAUUUUUUAUUUUGUUUUUUGUUUUGAUCCUGUUUGCCUUUGCUCAUAUCAUCUCAGCGCUCUAUUCAAAGUCUUGCUACUGUAAUCUAGAAAUGUAUAAGGAAUGAAAAGAACAAAAGAAAAUGGAGCACAGGGCUGCCAGUGGUCAAGACCAGAAAGAGACUUAGGGAGCACAUACUGGAGAUGGGCAAUGAGCAAAUAGCUCUUUAAACUGAUUUUCCUAUAUAUAAAGUUUACAAAUUUUCUUUGGACCAUCUCAUACCUUGGGUUUGUGUUUCUUGAUCUCUGAGGGGAACUGGAGGCAGAUGCAUAUGUUUUAUAACCACUUCUCCUUCCCCUCUUACGACUUGUUGUAUCUCUCUAACCAACCCCAGGGAGAAUUUUCUGGGCUUUUACUACUGUUCUCAAUAUCUGUUUUAUCAUUCACUGUAACUAUGCCAUCACUUUAAAAGCUUGUUGAGUACAGUAUGCACUUAUUCACAUUAGGAUUUUUUUUUUUGUAUUCAAGACUGCUCACUUGAGAAUGUGGAGAUAUUUGUGAUAUUAAUAAAGAGAAAAGUCUACAUUCUAGAGACUGUAUGUUUUGAAGGAUCCCCAAGCUCUUAAUUAGAAGAAAUUAAUGAAGGCUGUCUUUGCUGUUAUACCACUUCAAGCUCCCCCUUACCUACUCAGGGAGAUAAGAAAAGAUGAGUAACCUUGGGGCGCCUGGGUGGCUCAGUCGGUUGAGCGUCCGACUUCGGCUCAGGUCAUGAUCUCACAGUUUGUGGGUUCGAGCCCCGCAUCAGGCUCUGUGCUGACCUCUUGCUCAGAGCCUGGAGCCUGCUUCAGAUUCUGUGUCUCCUUCUCUCUCUGCCCCUCCCCUGCUCACGCUUUGUCUCACUCUGUUUCUCAAAAAUAAAUCAAUGUUAAAAAAAAAAAAAUUAAAAAAAAAAGAUGACUAACCUAUGCCCAAUAUUGGUCUUGAUGCAAUAAGAAUGUUUCAUCGCUUUGCAGAUAGAUUCCAGAAUCUUCCAUUUUACGAUCAUAUUCCUGAGCAAUGUCUAUAGAUCUUUAUGUAAUUUCUAUAUUAACCCUUAUUAUUGAGGCCAUAUCUAGUCAAUCAGACUUUUGCUUACUUCUAAGACCCUCUUCAAUACAUGGAUUAAAAUUUACAUAAAAUCCAAUUUGGCUUGGGAGCACUUAAAUUAAGGCCUACAAAUAAAUUUCUUUUAGGGCAUAUGAAAUUUUCUAUUUUGCACACCAGAAUAGGAAUCAGAAAUCUUAUGUCAGGAAUUGACACAUAAUCUGAAAUUCAUGUCAAAGUUCCAAUGAGCAGUUUGGGAUAUGUUUCUCAAUUUCCUCUUAUUUUUCCCAGUAUUUUUAAAAUAACUUGAAACUUAUCCAAACCACAACUUCUUCUUCAAGACACAGUUUUUACCAGAAGUCCCUUAGCCUCAUAAGAGUGUUUAGCAGUUUGUCUCUGAGCUCUGAUCUCUUUGACUGAAGCAGAGCUCUGGUGACAUCUUCAGAGCAAGUGGUAAAAAAGAGCCUCCUGAAUCUUCUGAAUACAGAAGAUGAUGGUACGAGAAGGGCAACCUCAAGAUAGAGAGAAAGCAGUAUGGCGGUCCCAAGUAAGAUUCUGGUCUGUUGCUGUGAGUUCCAUAGCACUCCUCAGUGCUUGUUUCAUUGUGAGCUGUGUGGUGACUUAUCAUCUUACAUAUGGCAAAACUGGCCAAAGGCUGUCUGAACUACACACACGCCACUCAGGUUUAACCUGCUUCAGUGAAGGGACAAGCAUGAGAGGGAAUGUCUGGGCAUGUUGCCCAUGUGCUUGGAAGUCAUUUGGUUCCAGCUGCUACUUCAUUUCUACUGAGCAGAAUUUUUGGUCAAAGAGUGAACAGAACUGUGUUGCAAUGGGUGCUCACUUGGUGGUGAUCAACACAGAAGCAGAGCAGGUACUUGUGUUUAUUUUUCAUUAAAUUGUUUUUAAUUGUGGAAGAAAAUACGGAUGUUACCAUCUGAACUGGUUUUAAAUGUAGAGUUCAGUAGUGUUACCCAUAUUCAUAUUGUUGCAAAAAGAUCUAUCUCUACAACUUUUUCAUCGUGCAAAAGUGAACUCUAUACCCUUUUAACCACAACUUCCAUUGCCCCCCACCUCCAGUCCCCGGUAACCCCCCUUCUAUCGAACUUCAAUGAGUUUGACUCCUUUGGACACCUCGUAUAAGUUGAACCACACAGUGUUUGGUUUUUUGUGACGGCCUUAUUUCAUGUAACAUAAUGUCCUCAAAGUUCAUUCAUGAUGUAGCAGUAACAGAACUCUCUUCCUUUUUAAGGCUGACUAAUAUUCCAUUGUGCAUAUACCACGUAUCAUUUAUCCAUUCAAGUGUUAAUGAACAUCUGGGCUGCUUUUACCUCUUGGCUAUUGUGACUAAUGCUGCAGUGAACAUGGGUGUGCAAAUGUUUCCAUGAGUCUUGCUUUCAGUAGCUUUGGAUAUAUACCCAGAAGUUGGAUUUCUGGAUCAUAUAGUAAUUCUAAUUUUAACUUAUUUGAAGAAACUGCACCGUUUUACAUUGUGUCUGUACUAUUUUACACUCCCACAAAGAAUGCACAAGGAUCCCAAUUUCUCCACAUUCUUGAUAGCACCUGCUAUUUUCUUCUCUUUUUUAUUAAAAAUAAUUUUUUUUAAAUGUUGAUUUAUUUUUGAGAGACAGAGACAUAGACAGAGCACAAGUCGGGAAGGGGCAGAGAGAGAGAGCAAGAAGGAGACACAGAAUCCAAAGCAGGCUCCGGGCUUUGAGCUGUCCGCACAGAGCCCAAUGGGGGGCUCGAACUCACCAACCAUGAGAUCAUGAGCUGAGCUGAAGUUGGCUGCCUAACUGACUGAGCCACCCAGGUGCCCCUCUUCUCUUUUUUAUUUUGAUAGCGGCCGUCCUAAUGGGUGUGAGAUUAUAUAUUCCAUUAUGGUUUUGAUUUUCACUUCUCUAAUGGUUAGCAAUAGUAAGACUCUGUCAUGUACCCUCGUGCACUGUUGGUGGUAAUGCAAACUGAUGCAGCCUCUGGGGAAAACAGUAUGGAGGUUCCUCAAAAUUAAAAAUAGAAUCACCAUAUGAUCCAGCAAUUGCACUAUUGGAUAUUUACGUGAAGAAUAUGAAAAUGCUCAUUUGAAAGGAUAUAGGCACCCCUAUGUUUACUGCAGCAUUAUUUACAAUAACCAAGAUAUAGAAACAGCCCAAAUGUCCAUAGAUAGAUGAAUGGAUAAAGAAGAUGUGGUAUAGAUAUGUAUGUGUGUGUGUGUGUGUGUGUGUGUGUGUGUGUGUGCGUAUCUCAAUACAUACAUACAUACAUAUGUAUACAUACACCAUGGAUUAUUAUUCAGCCAUAAAAAAGAAUGAAAUCUUGCCAUUUGCAACAACAUGGAUGGAGCUAGAGUAUUAUAAUGCUAAGUGAAAUAAGUCCGUCAGAGAAAGACAAAUUUCACUCAUAUGUGGACUUUAAGAAAAGCAAAACAAAUGAACAUUGGGGAAGGGAAAGAAAAGGAGAGAGGGCAGCAAACCAUGAGAGACUUUUAACUCUAGAGAACAAAC